GGGGUUUUAUUUUUUGCAAUAUGAAAGGAGGUGUGGGGGAGGAAAAAGAAUUGCACUUACAGAGGAAUAGAGCUAUCAAGAGCUCCACUUAUAGGCAUUUGAGCAGUAUGAUAGCCGAUUAAUGAUAAAUAUCAUGUCCUUUGCUUGCACAUGACCGUCCUGGGUUUAUGAAACCAUAACACAACAUGACCACAUAGUGUAUAUCUUAAUAGUGUAGAAAAAUGAAUUGCAC